rnacentral:rRNA from 1 species
GAUGAACGCUGGCGGCGUGCCUAAUACAUGCAAGUCGAGCGGUAAGGUUCUGCACUUAGUAUUUGACCAGAUAGGUCCCCUUGAAAAUUAUAGGAGAAACCAUCUGAGCGUGACUCUUCUGGCUAGAGGAGUUAAGUCGAAUUUUAAGUGUAGAAUACACGAGCGGCGGACGGGUGAGUAACGCGUAAGAUGUACCCCAA